UUGACCAAUCCCAGCCAGGACAGUCUAACAGUGUCUGCGUGUGGGAGUGACAGUCUAAACAGCUGGAACCUAGAGGAGGGUCCGGGGGAGGAGUCAGAGCUCUUUGAGUAUUCCUAUUGGUCGAGCCAAAUUCCGGUGCUGUCAGGGGCUGUGGCUGGAAGUGAGGCUGGGGCUGGAGGUGAGGCUGGGGCUGGGGCUGGAGGUGAGGCUGGAGGUGGGACUGGGAAGAACCAGAGAGAAGGUAAAGUCCUUCAGAGCCUCUGUCUCCUGGGCAGAGAGGAGGAAAGAGAGAAGAGAGAGGAGGAGAAGGGGAAUGUGAGAGAGGGAAGUGAAGGGAGAGAGAAAAGGGCAGAGAGAGAAGAGGACAGAGAGAAGAGAGAGGAGGAGCGGGGAGAGAAAGAAGUGGAGGAGUCUGUGAGAGAGGAGAAAGAAAGAGGAGAGGAGAGGCCAGAGAGAGAGGAGAGGCCAGAGAGAGAGGAGAGGCCAGAGAGAGAGGAUGAGAGGCCAGAGAUAGAGGAGAGGCCAGAGAGAGAGGCUGAGAGGCCAGAGAGAGAGGAGAGGCCAGAGAGAGAGGAUGAGAGGCCAGAGAGAGAGUAUGAGAGGCCAUCAUGUCCUCCCACUGUGCUGUCGGUCACUGCUCAGUUCCAGUCUCACGACUCCAGGCUAAACCUCCAGAACAAAGCCCAGACCAGGGGCUCGCAUGAGCCCAGCAUGCCCAGCAACAAGCCUCUCAGCCCGGCCACAAUCGAGGUGGGCUCCCCACAAAACAGCAACUCCCAGGCGCCUCUGAAUGACAGGACCACAAGCCAACCAGCAGUCAUCUCACCUAGCCUUAACAAGCCAAUCAGCAUCUCUGCAGAACAGGACGUUCCCACCCCUGUCAAGGUCUCUGAACUGAAGAAGAGAUUUGAAGCCUGAUUGAAACCCAAUGACAAUGCUGACAGUGUCUUAUUUUAGCCUGUGCUUUGCUAGAUAAAAAAAACGGGACUAUUGUUCUGUUUGAUGCUCGUGCCAGUUACCUUUAGACGAAUGCAGUUUGUUAUGCCGGCCACUAGGUGGAGGCAGUGAGAGUAGUGGCCUCAGAUGUACACUGAUUAAAUGAGUGGUAUUUUUGUUUUGGAAAUGAGUACAAGCCAUGAUGUGUCUUUGCUUAGUCAUCUAAGGACUGUGUGUAUCUGUGAGUGUAUGUGUCUGUGAGUGUGUCUGUAGGGGUGUGUGAUUAUGUAAGUGUGCUUGUGUAUGACCAUGACCAGAGUGCUGAUGCACCAGAAUCACUUUGUCAACAGUCCAAGUCCAACACAGGAGAGCUUUUAUUAACAAAUGCAGUUUUUAUUUUCCAGGCAGAAAAAGUGUUAAAAAUCACCUUUUAAGUGAAAAUCAGCCAUGAAGUUUGUAGUUACAACUGAUCUUGUUUCUCACACAUCAAAGAGGUAUUUAGACACAUAGAAAAUGUAACUUUUUUCUCUUACAAUUCUGGGAGUUUAUUUAUAAAAUAAAAUGGUUAACAUUGUGAGAAUCUUCUCAGUUGUUCAGGCUGAAUACAGACAGAAGACUUACAUUCCUAACACGUCUGCCUAACAAAAGUAUGCACAACAUGUAUGUUGUAUGAACUCGUUUUGUCAGCUGCUGCAGCCCAGCUGGGUGGUGUCCUCCCUUGCUCCGAAUGGGA